AAGAAUAAGCACCGGCUAACUACGUGCCAGCAGCCGCGGUAAUACGUAGGGUGCGAGCGUUAAUCGGAAUUACUGGGCGUAAAGCGCUCGCAGGCGGUUUUGAUAAGUCAGAUGUGAAAUCCCCGGGCUUAACCUUGGGAACUUCGAGUAUACAUACGUGAAAUACAGUGUUGAAGAGGGGGGUGGAAUUCCACGUGUAGCAGUGAAAUGCGUAGAGAUGUGGAGGAACACCGAUGGCGAAGGCAGCCCCCUGGGUUAACACUGACGCUCAGGCACGAAAGCGUGGGGAGCAAA
rnacentral:rRNA from 1 species